GGGGGUUUAUGACAAAGUUGAGCGACCUCAUGUCACUCAAACCAGCUGUAUUAAGGAAGGUGCAAGCUUUUGGGAUUUCUGUUUGGAUUUAGUUUAGGUUCAAAAGAGCACGCACAGAUCCUGAGUGUUGUCAAGCACCCGUGACUGGGAAACGGAGGCGUCCGAUCCGUAUUGGAGUCAAUUCGCCACUUAAUUGAAAAACCCUUUGAAAAGAUUCAGCACGUUGCCAUGGAGAACAUCCCACUGAAGGAAUGUAUAGAAGUAGCAGGUGUCAGCUGCCUACCAGUUGCUUUCAUCUCUAGAAAUCUGUGACUUGCAGUAUGACAAGAACAAAAGGUGACAAUACAAAGGACAAAGGGCAAGGAAUACAGACGGAGAAGCCGCUUAGAGUCUAGGAUGGCAGAGGUUCUCUUGAUCAUUUCAUUUUUGAGCGCUUGUAGAGCUUUGGUGUACCAGAGGUGCUUGAACAGCUUACCACACCACAGAUGAAUGGCCUUUGGAUUUCUCCUAAGAAAAUGUGGCUACCUGAAAUUCAACUCCAUUUUCUGGUCUUCAAUAUUUCUUUUGUGUUCAGUUUGCCAGCUGAGGAGAAGUGGCUAAGCAUAGCCUGUUACUGAUGCUAAAGCCCAAGUUCUGAACCUAACAACUCCAGCAACAUGAUCCUGUUUCAAGAGACAAAAAAGUGACUAAUGAAAGAAAACAAUUGAUGUGCUAUGUAGAGUUUAAAAGAAGGGUGGCUCAUUAAUGGGACCUCUCCAGAGGAAGUAAAGAUGAAGUAUUGGCAGCUUCCUUUUGGUGACAUUGUCUCUGGCUCAUACCUACCAAGGCUUCUUUCUAUUCGAGGCUCUCCAGUAGAAAUCCUAGCCUGUAAUAUGCAUUUCAAGAUCAAGAAGGGAAAACUCUUUAAUAAUUGAUAAUUUUUCUGGAAAAUAUGGAAGUCUUAGGUGAUAGAGGUCUGUCGUCCAGAGCAGGAUGAUCCUGUUUGGAAGUUCCCUCACAGACACAUCUAUCUGUAGGUGUGCCUCACGAACUGCCUGGUGAUUAUAAACACAGUCAGGUUGGCAAUGAUGAUGAACCAUAACCAGAAGAGAUGUUGAUGAGAGUAGCUGACUCACCACAGCGUGCCUAAGACAAUUAAAUUUUAUCACUCA
rnacentral:lncRNA from 1 species